rnacentral:ncRNA from 2 species
UAAUCUCAAUUUGUAACUGUGAG